GCCACCUUCCCCCGGUCCUUCCCUUUAAAAACGCUUUACUGUGCAAGUGAGUUUAAUGACUUUUCCAAUAUUAUAAAAGGUAGUUUACAUACACUUAAACACGUAAACAUAGAUAAUGCUGAGCUAAGUUGCUAAGUUACCAAAAGCAAAACCAAUAGCUAUACAUGUACAUUUAACACUUUGAAGCCCGGAGUCUGAUGUUUGUUAACAUUUUCAUAGCAAAUACACUGCAACUGGAUAUAAUGAUAAUACCCAGGAACAUUAGUAUCAAAUACAUACUAGUGGAUGCGUAUUCGUCAUGCGGCAUGUCACGUGAUAUAUUUAAAAAGUUCACACUUGUAUUUCGCACAAGAACUGUUGCCUUCCCGUUUGUG
rnacentral:lncRNA from 1 species